rnacentral:rRNA from 1 species
GGAAGUAGCAAAUAUUCAAGUGGGAUCCUUGAAGACUGAAGUGGGGAAGGGUUCCAUGGUAACAGCAGUUGGACAUGGGUUAGUCGGUCCUAAGAGAUAGGGAACCUCCGUUUUAAAGAAGGCUCUUGUUAGUCUGACCUAUCGAAAGGGAAUGUAGUUAAGAUUCUACAACUGGGAUGCAGAUUUUCAGCGGUAACGCAUAUGAACUUGGUGACAUUGGCAUGGGCCCUAGGAAAAGUUAUCUUUUUUCUUUAACAGUCUGUAACCCUGGAAACGAAUUAUUCGGAGAUAGGGUUUAAUGAUUGGUAGAGCGUCACACCUCUGUGGCGUCUAGUGUGUCCUUGACAAUCCUUGAAAAGCCGAGGGAUUUAAAAAGUCUUGCACUCAUCCGUACUCAUAUCCGCAUCAGGUCCUCAAGGUGAACAGCCUCUGGUU